AGAGUUUGAUCCUGGCUCAGGACGAACGCUGGCGGCGUGCUUAACACAUGCAAGUCGAACGGUAAGGCCCUUCGGGGUACACGAGUGGCGAACGGGUGAGUAACACGUGGGUGAUCUGCCCUGCACUUCGGGAUAAGCCCGGGAAACUGGGUCUAAUACCGGAUAGUACUGCGCGGUGCAUGCCGUGUGGUGGAAAGAUUUAUCGGUGCAGGAUGGGCCCGCGGCCUAUCAGCUUGUUGGUGGGGUAAUGGCCUACCAAGGCGACGACGGGUAGCCGGCCUGAGAGGGCGACCGGCCACACUGGGACUGAGACACGGCCCAGACUCCUACGGGAGGCAGCAGUGGGGAAUAUUGCACAAUGGGCGCAAGCCUGAUGCAGCGACGCCGCGUGAGGGAUGACGGCCUUCGGGUUGUAAACCUCUUUCAGCAGGGACGAAGCGCAAGUGACGGUACCUGCAGAAGAAGCACCGGCCAACUACGUGCCAGCAGCCGCGGUAAUACGUAGGGUGCAAGCGUUGUCCGGAAUUACUGGGCGUAAAGAGCUCGUAGGCGGUUUGUCGCGUCGUCUGUGAAAACCAGCAGCUCAACUGUUGGCUUGCAGGCGAUACGGGCAGACUUGAGUAUUUCAGGGGAGACUGGAAUUCCUGGUGUAGCGGUGAAAUGCGCAGAUAUCAGGAGGAACACCGGUGGCGAAGGCGGGUCUCUGGGAAAUAACUGACGCUGAGGAGCGAAAGCGUGGGUAGCGAACAGGAUUAGAUACCCUGGUAGUCCACGCCGUAAACGGUGGGCGCUAGGUGUGGGUUUCCUUCCACGGGAUCCGUGCCGUAGCUAACGCAUUAAGCGCCCCGCCUGGGGAGUACGGCCGCAAGGCUAAAAC
rnacentral:rRNA from 1 species